rnacentral:rRNA from 1 species
UUGAAGAGUUUGAUCAUGGCUCAGAUUGAACGCUGGCGGCAGGCCUAACACAUGCAAGUCGAACGGUAGCACAGAGAGCUUGCUCUCGGGUGACGAGUGGCGGACGGGUGAGUAAUGUCUGGGAAACUGCCUGAUGGAGGGGGAUAACUACUGGAAACGGUAGCUAAUACCGCAUAACGUCGCAAGACCAAAGUGGGGGACCUUCGGGCCUCAUGCCAUCAGAUGUGCCCAGAUGGGAUUAGCUAGUAGGUGGGGUAACGGCUCACCUAGGCGACGAUCCCUAGCUGGUCUGAGAGGAUGACCAGCCACACUGGAACUGAGACACGGUCCAGACUCCUACGGGAGGCAGCAGUGGGGAAUAUUGCACAAUGGGCGCAAGCCUGAUGCAGCCAUGCCGCGUGUAUGAAGAAGGCCUUCGGGUUGUAAAGUACUUUCAGCGAGGAGGAAGGCAUUAAGGUUAAUAACCUUGGUGAUUGACGUUACUCGCAGAAGAAGCACCGGCUAACUCCGUGCCAGCAGCCGCGGUAAUACGGAGGGUGCAAGCGUUAAUCGGAAUUACUGGGCGUAAAGCGCACGCAGGCGGUCUGUUAAGUCAGAUGUGAAAUCCCCGGGCUCAACCUGGGAACUGCAUUUGAAACUGGCAGGCUUGAGUCUUGUAGAGGGGGGUAGAAUUCCAGGUGUAGCGGUGAAAUGCGUAGAGAUCUGGAGGAAUACCGGUGGCGAAGGCGGCCCCCUGGACAAAGACUGACGCUCAGGUGCGAAAGCGUGGGGAGCAAACAGGAUUAGAUACCCUGGUAGUCCACGCUGUAAACGAUGUCGACUUGGAGGUUGUUCCCUUGAGGAGUGGCUUCCGGAGCUAACGCGUUAAGUCGACCGCCUGGGGAGUACGGCCGCAAGGUUAAAACUCAAAUGAAUUGACGGGGGCCCGCACAAGCGGUGGAGCAUGUGGUUUAAUUCGAUGCAACGCGAAGAACCUUACCUACUCUUGACAUCCAGAGAACUUAGCAGAGAUGCUUUGGUGCCUUCGGGAACUCUGAGACAGGUGCUGCAUGGCUGUCGUCAGCUCGUGUUGUGAAAUGUUGGGUUAAGUCCCGCAACGAGCGCAACCCUUAUCCUUUGUUGCCAGCGGUCCGGCCGGGAACUCAAAGGAGACUGCCAGUGAUAAACUGGAGGAAGGUGGGGAUGACGUCAAGUCAUCAUGGCCCUUACGAGUAGGGCUACACACGUGCUACAAUGGCAUAUACAAAGAGAAGCGACCUCGCGAGAGCAAGCGGACCUCAUAAAGUAUGUCGUAGUCCGGAUUGGAGUCUGCAACUCGACUCCAUGAAGUCGGAAUCGCUAGUAAUCGUAGAUCAGAAUGCUACGGUGAAUACGUUCCCGGGCCUUGUACACACCGCCCGUCACACCAUGGGAGUGGGUUGCAAAAGAAGUAGGUAGCUUAACCUUCGGGAGGGCGCUUACCACUUUGUGAUUCAUGACUGGGGUGAAGUCGUAACAAGGUAACCGUAGGGGAACCUGCGGUUGGAUCACCUCCUU